rnacentral:rRNA from 1 species
UACGAAGGGGGCUAGCGUUGCUCGGAAUUACUGGGCGUAAAGGGCGCGUAGCCGGCACUGUUAGUCAGGCGUGAAAGUCCUGGGCUCAACCUGUGAACUGCGCUUGAUACGGCAGAGCUAGAGGAUGGAAGAGGCUCGCGGAAUUCCCAGUGUAGAGGUGAAAUUCGUAGAUAUUGGGAAGAACACCGGUGGCGAAGGCGGCGAGCUGGUCCAUUACUGACGCUAAGGCGCGACAGCGUGGGGAGCAAACAGG